rnacentral:rRNA from 1 species
AGGACGAACGCUGGCGGCGUGCCUAACACAUGCAAGUCGAACGGAGUUAAUGAUUUCGGUGUAACUUAGUGGCGAACGGGUGAGUAACGCGUGAACAACCUGACCCAAAGAGGGGGAUAACAUUUGGAAACAGAUGCUAAUACCGCAUAAGACCACAACGUCACAUGGCGAAGGGGUCAAAGGAGCAAUCCGCUUUGGGAGGGUUCGCGUCCCAUUAGGUAGUAGGCGGGGUAACAGCCCACCUAGCCAACGAUGGGUAGCCGAGCUGAGAGGCUGAUCGGCCACACUGGAACUGAGACACGGUCCAGACUCCUACGGGAGGCAGCAGUGGGGAAUAUUGGGCAAUGGGCGCAAGCCUGACCCAAGCAACGCCGCGUGAGGGAAGAAGGUUUUCGGAUUGUAAACCUCUGUCGCAGAAGACGAAGGAAGUGACGGUAUUCUGUGAGGAAGCCCCGGCUAACUACGUGCCAGCAGCUGC